GGAAGGGAGUGCAAGUCUUCCGCCGCCCCGCGACUGUAAUCGGGACGAAAACCGCGGAAUGCCACUGGGAGGCACGAAGCUUGCCGGGAAGGCGCGGUGAGUAGGAUGAACGAGAGCCAGGAGAC
rnacentral:ncRNA from 1 species